rnacentral:lncRNA from 1 species
AACUGUUUUGUCAAUGUUACUGGCAUACACACUUCAAAGGAAAACCUAAAAUAGAAAAGAUGGCUAAUAGCAUAAUGCUUAAGAACAUGAGUUUUAGAAUUGAACUGCAGGGCAUACUGAACUCUGCCAUUUACUGGAUGUGUGACCUUGGGCAGGUUACCUAAUCUCUUCACGCCUCAUUGUUCUCAUCUGUAAAAUGGGGACAAUAAUACUACCUAAUUCACUGUAUUGUUAUGAGAUUAAAAGAGUUAGUACCUAUAAAGGGCUUGCCUAGUGGCUGGCACAUAGUAAGUCUUCAGUAAAUAUCAGUUAUUAGGACUAAAUCAGGUUGUUGGGGGUAGGGGGAAGGAAGAGGGAAUAAUUCUAUCCUUCUAAAGUUUUUGUAAAGUGCAGCACUAGAGUGUGGCUCUAGCGACAUAGGAAAACUCAUCUUUGGGCAGGGGACCACUUUACGAGUCAAACCAGGUAGGUCUGGAUGUUCCCGGCUGAGGCACAGCUGCCCACUACAUUCGUGUCUUGUCUAAUUUUCUCUGCCUUCUCAACUUCUAACCGAGGACUUUCACUGUUCAGUUUUAUUUUCUUUUUGUAAUACUUAGUAGGAUGUGUGGAAAACCUAGCCAAUAGGGUCUUCCCCAGCCCAUUCAGUUUCAGCUAGAGGCAAAAAGUGGGGCAAGCCUGAAGGUGAACUGGAUCUGGGAAUUCUAGGCUAAGACUGAGAGAAUGUAAGUCUGGCUAACUUGGAGAAAUAAAAACAUCCAAUGUGGGAGGUUCAUGAAAACUAAAAAUGAUUUUCCUAAUAGUGUACUAGAGUAGAAACCACCCCUGUGGUUUCUAGAAUUCUCUAAGAACUGUCAUUCAAGGAGAAAACUGUCUUUCAAGCAUGGAAAUGGCAAGUUUUUGUUUGGUAAAAGAAAGAAAUAAAGAAAAAAUAGGGGAGGACAGAAGAGAAACUGUUGGUGACUUGGAUCUUUUCUUUUUAAUUUAUUCUUUUGGUCAAGAAACAUGGAAGACCGUAUUUUCCAUAAGAUGGCUUUUAAAAACCUUUUUAAAAUUCCUACUGUCACCAAGUAGGAGUCGAAUAUGUAUAGCAUACCUCUGGUGAGCUGUAUAGAGGAAGAAAAGGAAGGAAAUUUAGCAGAGUUGAGAGUGUUUUUGUACUAGGCAGAAAAGCCGUGCCAAUCUCUGGGACAAACAAGCUUGGAACAAGGCUUUUCUUUGGGCCUGGAACAAGACUCACCAUUAUUCCCCAUAAGUCCUUUACUACUUGAGAGAAAGCCCUUAAUCUAUAAUGACCAGCUCUCACAUCCCAGACACCUAAUGAAUUUCUAAAUGAGCUUCCGUGUGUUAACCUGAUAAGACUCUCCAGGGAGAGGGUCACCCUUACUUUCCUGGCUCUAAAUGUAAGACAUGUUUUGUAAGAAAAAUGGGAAAUGUCAAUUGCUGUGCCAAAACAAAGAGGAUGGGUAUAAAAACUGGACCAGUUUUAGUGUUAAGUUUAUAAAAUGUAAGCCUUUCAGAAGGGUUUCAAGGCACACUUAUUAGUUUGCGUCUACACAGCACAAUUGUCCAGUUAAUUUGAUUAAUGUCAGUAGCUGAUCCAGAUAUUUAGGCACUUCCUGGAGAAACCUUCUUGGUGCUCAAAAUUGCCUCAAUUGACUGUCACAUUACCUAAAUAAUUGCCAGAUCUGUUUUACUUUGUGCUGUAUAGACUCAGCCUAAUAAAAACAAAUGCUGUUGUGUGUUUUUCCCCAGUCUGUCUCCUCUCGGCGCGGAAAGUUUCCUUCUAGUCACACAAAGAAAAGAUACCCAGCAAGCCAUUUGACUUAUGGCUGCUGCUAUUUUGCAUUUAUAUGACUCCUUUCCUUGGAAGAGAUUAAGACACUUCAUACGACUUAUUAGCUAAACAGAUUGACAGCCUAAUUAGAAAGAGAGAAGC